rnacentral:lncRNA from 1 species
UAUGUAAUUAUCCCAAUCUACCUGUAGUAAACCCUGCUCCGUUUCUUCUAUAUGUUAGGUUUGAAAACCGGCAACUUCGAUCCCGAUUUCAGUCCUACUUUAUCUGUAAAUAACAGAGAAUGAGUAUAUAUAAUUCAGCACAAUAAAUUUAAAUCAUAAGUAUAGCAUGGAAACCCAAUUAAAAAUCUAUUCAUAUAUGUUUUCCCUUCCCAUUACCAUGGCCAUGCUUUCUUCCUACCCACCACCCCCACU